CAUAAAGGAAUCCUUGGUGGAAGUGCAAAACACGAUAAAAGGACAAAACUAUCUCAUUUUGGAGGAGAGGCAAGGAGGCGACGUAUGACUUUAUCAAAGCUUCUCCCAGCCUACUGAUAAAGCUGAAAACUAUCGCAAAAUUUGGAGAUGUAUGAAAUCCAAGGGGUAUGAACAUUCUGUUCUUUGUAGUAGUCCCAGGGGAACAAAUUAGGCCAGUUCUGUGAAAAAUGUGGAUCAAAUAAAAUUCUUCUCCAU